AUUGAACGCUGGCGGCAGGCCUAGCACAUGCCAGUCGAGCGGAUGAAGGGAGCUUGCUCCUGGAUUCAGCGGCGGACGGGUGAGUAAUGCCUAGGAAUCUGCCUGGUAGUGGGGGAUAACGUCCGGAAACGGGCGCUAAUACCGCAUACGUCCUGAGGGAGAAAGUGGGGGAUCUUCGGACCUCACGCUAUCAGAUGAGCCUAGGUCGGAUUAGCUAGUUGGUGGGGUAAAGGCCUACCAAGGCGACGAUCCGUAACUGGUCUGAGAGGAUGAUCAGUCACACUGGAACUGAGACACGGUCCAGACUCCUACGGGAGGCAGCAGUGGGGAAUAUUGGACAAUGGGCGAAAGCCUGAUCCAGCCAUGCCGCGUGUGUGAAGAAGGUCUUCGGAUUGUAAAGCACUUUAAGUUGGGAGGAAGGGCAGUAAGUUAAUACCUUGCUGUUUUGACGGUACCAACAGAAUAAGCACCGGCUAACUUCGUG
rnacentral:rRNA from 1 species